rnacentral:rRNA from 1 species
AACGAACGCUGGCGGCAGGCUUAACACAUGCAAGUCGAACGCCCCGCAAGGGGAGUGGCAGACGGGUGGGUAACACGUGGGAACGUGCCCUAAGGUUCGGAAUAUUCCCGGGAAACUGGGAGCAAUACCGAAUGUGUCCGAGAGGAGAAAGAUUUAUCGCCUUUGGAUCGGCCCGCGUCGGAUUAGCUAGUUGGUGGGGUAAUGGCCUACCAAGGCGACGAUCCGUAGCUGGUCUGAGAGGACGACCAGCCACACUGGGACUGAGACACGGCCCAGACUCCUACGGGAGGCAGCAGUGGGGAAUCUUGGACAAUGGGCGCAAGCCUGAUCCAGCCAUGCCGCGUGGAUGAUGAAGGCCUUAAGGUUGUAAAAUCCUUUCGCCGAGGACGAUAAUGACGGUACUCGGAGAAGAAGCUCCGGCUAACUUCGUGCCAGCCGCCGCCGUAAGAC